rnacentral:rRNA from 1 species
GUGGGGAAUAUUGGACAAUGGGCGAAAGCCUGAUCCAGCCAUGCCGCGUGUGUGAAGAAGGUCUUCGGAUUGUAAAGCACUUUAAGUUGGGAGGAAGUGCAGUAAGUUAAUACCUUGCUGUUUUGACGUUACCGACAGAAUAAGCACCGGCUAACUUCGUGCCAGCAGCCGCGGUAAUACGAAGGGUGCAAGCGUUAAUCGGAAUUACUGGGCGUAAAGCGCGCGUAGGUGGUUUUGUAAGUUGGAGGUGAAAUCCCCGGGCUCAACCUGGGAACUGCCUCCAAAACUGCAUGACUAGAGUACGGUAGAGGGUAGUGGAAUUUCCUGUGUAGCGGUGAAAUGCGUAGAUAUAGGAAGGAACACCAGUGGCGAAGGCGACUACCUGGACUGAUACUGACACUGAGGUGCGAAAGCGUGGGGAGCAAACAGGAUUAGAAACCCGUGUAGUCC